rnacentral:rRNA from 1 species
GACGAACGCUGGCGGCGUGCUUAACACAUGCAAGUCGAACGGAAAGGCCCUGCUUUUGUGGGGUGCUCGAGUGGCGAACGGGUGAGUAACACGUGAGUAACCUGCCCUUGACUUUGGGAUAACUUCAGGAAACUGGGGCUAAUACCGGAUAGGAGCUCCUGCUGCAUGGGGGGGGUUGGAAAGUUUCGGCGGUUGGGGAUGGACUCGCGGCUUAUCAGCUUGUUGGUGGGGUAGUGGCUUACCAAGGCUUUGACGGGUAGCCGGCAUGGGAGGGUGACCGGCCACAUGGGGACUAAGAUAGGGCCCAGACGCCUACGUGAGGCAGCAGGCGGGAAUAUUGCACAGUGGGCGCAAGCCUGAGGCAGAGACGCCGCGAGCGGGAAGACGGCCUUCGGGUGGUAAACCGCUUUCGCCUGAGACGAAGCGUGAUUGACGGUAAUGAGUAAAGAAGCACCGGCUAACUACGUG